UACGUAGGGAGCAAGCGUUAUCCGGAUUUACUGGGUGUAAAGGGCGAGUAGGCGGAUUGGCAAGUCAGAAGUGAAAUCUGGGGGCUUAACUCCCAAACUGCUUUUGAAACUGCUAGUCUUGAGUGAUGGAGAGGCAGGCGGAAUUCCCAGUGUAGCGGUGAAAUGCGUAGAGAUUGGGAGGAACACCAGUGGCGAAGGCGGCCUGCUGGACAUUAACUGACGCUGAGGCGCGAAAGCGUGGGGAGCAAAC
rnacentral:rRNA from 1 species